rnacentral:rRNA from 1 species
AUUGAACGCUGGCGGCAUGCCUUACACAUGCAAGUCGAACGGCAGCACGGGAGCAAUCCUGGUGGCGAGUGGCGAACGGGUGAGUAAAGUAUCGGAACGUGCCCAGUCGUGGGGGAUAACGUAGCGAAAGUUACGCUAAUACCGCAUACGAUCUAUGGAUGAAAGCGGGGGAUCGCAAGACCUCGCGCGAUUGGAGCGGCCGAUAUCAGAUUAGGUAGUUGGUGGGGUAAAGGCUCACCAAGCCGACGAUCUGUAGCUGGUCUGAGAGGACGACCAGCCACACUGGGACGGAGACACGGCCCAGACUCCUACGGGAGGCAGAAGUGGGGAAUUUUGGACAAUGGGCGAAAGCCUGAUCCAGCCAUGCCGCGUGCAGGAUGAAGCCCUUCGGGUUGUAAACUGCUUUUGUACGGAACGAAAAGGUUUGGCCUAAUAAGCUGAGCUCAUGACGGUACCGUAAGAAUAAGCACCGGCUAACUACGUGCCAGCCGCCGCCGUAA